GACGAACGCUGGCGGCGUGCUUAACACAUGCAGGUCGAACGGAAAGGCCCUGCUUUUGUGGGGUGCUCGAGUGGCGAACGGGUGAGUAACACGUGAGUAACCUGCCCUUGACUUUGGGAUAACUUCAGGAAACUGGGGCUAAUACCGGAUAGGAGCUCCUGCUGCAUGGUGGGGGUUGGAAAGUUUCGGCGGUUGGGGAUGGACUCGCGGCUUAUCAGCUUGUUGGUGGGGUAGUGGCUUACCAAGGCUUUGACGGGUAGCCGGCCUGAGAGGGGGACCGGCCACAUUGGGACUGAGAUACGGCCCAGACUCCUACGGGAGGCAGCAGUGGGGAAUAUUGCACAAUGGGCGGAAGCCGGAUGCAGCAACGCCGCGUGCGGGAUGACGGCCUUCGGGUUGUAAACCGCUUUCGCCUGUGACGAAGCGUGAGUGACGGUAAUGGGUAAAGAAGCACCGGCUAACUACGU
rnacentral:rRNA from 1 species